rnacentral:lncRNA from 1 species
AGGUAACUCUCUCUCUCUCUCUGCUUGCAUUUGGUCAAAUAACCUCAGCUUAUGGUUGUUUAUUCUCUUGUUUCAUAUGGAAUAAUAAACAGUCUAUAACAAGCUGAAAGAUAUAGAUACAAUAGACCUCAAGUGGUGUCCAAUUAUACCCGAUAAGGCAAGUUUUUCUCUUAAACUUUCAUAAAUUUAGUUUCUAUGUGCAUAUUUUAAUUCUUUAGGAUUCUCUCUAACAGCAUGCAUACUUGAAGCAUGAGAAAAAGUUUGCUGAACUCUUCAAGAAGCAUGAAGAGAAAAAGAAGCGGUGGAUGCUGAUUGAAGAAGAAAAAGAGCGUCUUGGGAAAGGGAAAAGAGGAGCUGUUACUGAUAAGUUGAAACCAUGUUAUGCUAUGCUCUUGGCCUGAGAAUAGAGGAGCAGUUACUGAUAGGUUGAAACCAUGUUAUGCUAUGCUCUUGGCCUGAGAAUUGUGUCAGUCUUUUGUGCAAGAAUGUAGAAGAAUUAUUAUAAUUCUAAUUGUGUUAUGUUUCUUUGUUUUGUAUUCUGUGUUGGAUUUCAGUUCUGCUAAUCUUUGUGGCACGUACUGCUUCAUUGCCUGAUGUUGCAUAAUACAGAAUAGUGUUGGCAUGUUGAGAUGAUCAAAUUAAUAUUAACAAUAAAAGAAAAAUGACAAGACUGUUUAGUUGGAUUACAAUUGCACAAAACAUGACCUCGUCGCCUCAUUUUUUUUAUUUUUUUUUUGGCUAAGAAUGAAUUAAGCCAAAUUAUGAAAUUAAUAAAGAAAGAAGAGUUCUUUCUACAAACAAGUUUGUCAAUAGGUACAUUCCGUCCUCUGCAAAACCAUGCAAUUAUGCAGAUUCAUCUUUUUUUUACACAAGACAAGGAAAGAAAUUUCUGAACAAAAUAAAAUGAGAAAUUCAUAAAGCAAGGCCAUUUCUUCUGAACUUGAAAAGUUGAUCUAUUAUGAAGAUUGGGGAGAACACAAGAAACGAGACAAAUGUAAGAACCUGUUCAAUUCGGUAACACGGAGCAAGAUGGCUACAAAUAAUAUUUAGGAACUAAAAAAUGUGAUUUAUUUUCAUUGGAACUAAAAACAAAACUGCAGAUAUUUAUAGGGACCAAAAACUUAAUUAACCCUUUUAAAAACCGUUUUUUGGAUCCUCCAUUUAUUUUAUUUUCUUCAUAAAUUUGGGUCUUUUUUGAUGAUGUGACAUUUUUUAAGAGGAAAUAAACGCUUAUAGCAUCUUAUUUUUUUAUGAUGUUAACUCGCUUAAAGUAGUCGGCAAUUUUUUCCGAGUUAAAAUAUAAUAAAUAUUGUUUUAAAAAAAAUUAAACUAACUCAUUCAAAUUAAUACUGGAAAAAAUCGAACCUCAUACUUUAAGAAGGGUCACGCUUUAAAGUUCACGACCAACUUAUUGUUAAGUUGGGACAAAAGAAUAUUAUACUUUUAAAAUGGAGACCGAAACUUUUUUUUUUUAAUAGAAAAGACACCGAAACUUGUUUUUAAUAGAAAAGACAAAAUGCAUUUAAUAUUAUUUUCAAAAUAUUAAAUCUUUCUUUUCUUUUUAUACAUUUGUUAACAAUUCACAUUGUCAAUGAAGUAUUAUCCAGAAAACCUUCAUUAUAAAUAUAAGAGUAAAUUACACCCUCUUCCCAUUAAAGAUAUUUGAAUUACAUUUCCCUCCCCUUUUAUAUUAAAAUAUACACUCCCCUCCCUUAAAAAGAAAAAUUUAUACUUGUGAAAUGGUUUAGUUAAUUUUGAUAUGGUUCGAUUCGGUUACUGGUUAAUUUUGCCCACCCCUACACUUGGGUUAAUUCAUGCUUGAUUUAAGUUACGUAGAGAUUAACACUAGAAUUAAAUCACGUUGCGUGAUUUAACACACCUAAAAUAUACACUAGUGUGAUUUAAAUCACAUAAGGACAUUUUAAAUAUUUACUUUGGCAAUGAGCAAAACUGUAAAGAGCAAAAUUCUACACUUAAAUCCCGAAUUGGGCCGAGUAACCAACCCAUUUUGCUAUAUAUAUAUAUAUAUAUAUAUAUAUAUAUAUAUAUAUAUAUAUAUAUAUAUAUAUAGACUUGUCUAUUUCGUUCAAUAGUUUGCCGAUAUCCACUCGCUGAUCGCGUUUGUUUUCAGAGUUCGUUCAUUCGUUUUCUACCUUCUUCAUUGGAUUUGUAUACCUCCCUCAUCUCCAUCAUGUUUGAGGUAUUUUCAUUCCUUUUCAAUUCUGUUUGAUUCGACUCUUCUCAAAUUUGUGAGAUUAGGGUUUGUAACUUUUGAAUUGAUUUUUUUUAUGUGAAAUAGAAUGUUUUGUGAUGGAAUUAAACCUUCCAUUACACUGAUUCUUUGCUCGUAUGUUUCUUUAUCAAUUCAAUCUGUUCUGUGUUGUGUUGUUUGGAGAUAUUCCAAUCUUAUCUUAUUUGCGGGAUUAGGGUUUCAAACCUUUGAAUUGGGGAUUUCAAUUUUGUGUGUGACAAUCUGAUUUUCUUUUUAUUUGCAAGGGUUUUUGUUGAUUGGCUAACAUCUAUGAAGCCCCGAUACCGAUACGAUACGGCCUCGAUAAAUUUAAAAUUAAUAGUAUAAGUGCACAAUGUAUAAACAUAACUAAAAAUGAUAAUAAACAAUGAAAAUGAUCAAAACAAGUGACAAUUACAUAUUUUUUCCGCACAAAUUAGAUAGAAUAUAGCUAAACAUCAUUAGUACCAUCCAAAGAGAACAACAUAAGUACUAUAAAAACAGCAGAAGAAACAUAACAUUAGAGAGAAGAGAAACAGAGUAGAAUUCAAUCAGUGAUAAUGGUUAGAAGAGAGAAUAGCUAUUGCUAUGUGGUGACGAGAAACCCUAUUUUUUUUUUUGUUAGAAGAGACAAUAUGAUUUUGGUAGCGCUUCCAGACUUGAUAGGUGUCCGAGUAUAAGUAAGCUGUGUCGGAGUACAAGUUAGUCGUAUCCGACACGUAUCGGACAUUUUUUUUCCUUCAAAAAAUAAAUAUUAACUGCCCGAUGCUUUUCUGAUACGCGUAUCGGGACGUAUUCGACACGUAUUGGUCAUUGUUUUUCAAAAAAAUAAAUAUUAAUUGUCCGAUACUUUUCCGAUACGCGUAUCGAGGCGUAUCGGUAUCAGAUACAUGUCGGAUACGAUACUUCACCAUUUUUGGAGUAUCGGGGCUUCAGAGGCUAACAUAAAUUAUUCUAUUUGUAACUUAUGGUUUCUUUUUAUUAUUUGUAAGAGAAACUUAUAUGCUACAUAUGUUCCUCAUUUUAUCGUUAUUAUUUUUAUAUUUGUGUUUGCCACUUUUAAUUAAUUAGUUGUUCUCUGUUGGAAUUUAUUCAAAGGAACAUUACCAGCACCCUAGACUCUCCCCAAUGGGCCCUUCACGAUUGCCGCUGCCACCGCAAAUGGGUAAUUCAACCUAAUCCUAUUUUCAUACAAGUAUUAUUUUGCUGUUUGAUUUGAUGAAUCUCAAAUAAUAACUUCACCCUUUGGAUUCUUAUUAUUUCAUCAAUACAAUAGAAAGAAAACUUCUUCAUGAGAAGAAGCGGAAGGAGCAAGAAGUAGAAAGCACAAAGGAGGAUCUUCUCCAUGGGAAGAAGCCAAAGGAGCAAAAAGUAGAAAGUACCGAGGGAGAUCUGCUUUAUGAUGGUGAGAAGCCAAAAGAAUUCGAAUGCCCGGUUUACGCAGAGACAUUGAAAGGUAACUCUCUCUCUCUCUCUGCUUGCAUUUGGUCAAAUAACCUCAGCUUAUGGUUGUUUAUUCUCUUGUUUCAUAUGGAAUAAUAAACAGUCUAUAACAAGCUGAAAGAUAUAGAUACAAUAGACCUCAAGUGGUGUCCAAUUAUACCCGAUAAGGCAAGUUUUUCUCUUAAACUUUCAUAAAUUUAGUUUCUAUGUGCAUAUUUUAAUUCUUUAGGAUUCUCUCUAACAGCAUGCAUACU